CGGGCUGGCCGGGCGACCGCGUUGCUCCCUCGGGAGCACCGAGGAAAGUCCGGGCUCCACAGGGCAGGGUGGUGGCCAACGGCCACCCGGGGUGACCCGCGGGACAGUGCCACAGAAAGCAGACCGCCCUCCUCGUCGGCCGAGCUUCGGCGAUGCCGAUGAUGAGGGUAAGGGUGAAACGGUGAGGUAAGAGCUCACCAGCGGCCUGGGUGACCAGGCCGGCUAGGUAAACCCCACCCGGAGCAAGACCAGACAGUGCUCGCCUGAGGGCUGCCCGCCUGAGAGUACGGGUAGGUCGCUCGAGGCCGCCGGCAACGGCGGUCCUAGAUGGAUGGUCGCCGCUCCGCGAGGAGUACAGAACCCGGCUUACAGGUCAGCCCGUCCG
rnacentral:RNase_P_RNA from 1 species